rnacentral:rRNA from 1 species
GACGUAGGGCGCGAGCGUUGUCCGGAUUUAUUGGGCGUAAAGAGCUCGUAGGCGGCUUGUCGCGUCGACUGUGAAAACCCGCGGCUCAACUGCGGGCCUGCAGCCGAUACGGGCAGGCUAGAGUUCGGUAGGGGAGACUGGAAUUCCUGGUGUAGCGGUGAAAUGCGCAGAUAUCAGGAGGAACACCGAUGGCGAAGGCAGCUCGCUGGGAAGGUACUGACGCUGAGGCGCGAAAGCGUGGGGAGCAAACAGG